GUGCCCGUAGCUCAGCUGGAUAGAGCACUAGCCUCCGGAGCUAGGUGUCGGGCGUUCGAAUCGCCCCGGGCACA
rnacentral:tRNA from 1 species